UACGAGGGGGGCCAGCGUUGUUCGGAAUUAUUGGGCGUCAAGGGCGCGUAGGCGGCGCCACAAGUCCCUUGUGACAACUCUGGGCUCAACUCAGAGCCUGCAAGCGAAACUGUGGUGCUGGAGUAUGGGAGAGGUGCGUGGAAUUCCCGGUGUAGCGGUGAAAUGCGUAGAUAUCGGGAGGAACGCCUGUGGCGAAAGCGGCGCACUGGACCAUAACUGACGCUGAGGCGCGAAAGCUAGGGGAGCAAACAGG
rnacentral:rRNA from 1 species